ensembl:snoRNA
CUGAUUCAACUAUGAUUUUUAUUUGCCUGAUUUCCUUUUGGAUAAUGAAGGCAUCUUUAGUCAUCAUCUCUUCUGAGACAU